rnacentral:lncRNA from 13 species
AUGGGCCAGGGCCGUGCCCCCCUCCUGGCCCUGAGGACGCCUGGGAUGAGCCACCCUGGGAGCACCAGCGCUGGCGGUGCCCGCCUCAUCGCAGGGCCCCGGGACCCAUCCCUGGCCCUGGUGACAGCCCUUGGAACGAGGAGGAGGACACGGGGUGGGCACCCCACGACUGUCCCCCGCCACCCCCUUGGGAUGACAGAGACUUCCAAGGACCUGAGGACGGCUUUGGAGAGGGCUGGCACCCGGAUCCGAGGAGCUUUCCGGGGACACCGCCCGCCCUGGAGCUGCCCCCGCCGGGGUGGGAGACGCGGCCGCCGCCCCCGCAGGAGCCACCACCGGCAGCUGACCCUGGUUCCCCGGGUGUGGUGUCCCCGGCCCCCCCGAGAGUACAAGCCGCACUCCAAGGCCUCUCCUGCCCUCUCCAAGAGGAGCAAGCCGGCGGCCGGGAAGGAGCUGCAGCCCCCAGAUCCUCCCCAGCCCCUUUUACCCCUCCGAGGUGCUGCGGAGAGGCCGGAACAGACACAGGAUGUGCCCGUGGAAGGUCUGCCUCCUGGGAAUGUCCUGGAGCCCCCCAGUCCGGCUGGGAGCCCUCCAGAGAGCCCAGCUGCCGAUGCCGGUGCUGUGACCCCGGUUGAGCUGGAAGCCGGGCAGACCCCUGUGGGCAGCCAGCAUCAGGAUCCCUGUGCUUUGGGAGCAGAUCCAGCCCCUCCGGGGGAGAGCUCUGCCGGGAUCCAGGAGCACCUUGAGGUAGAGCCGUGCACUCCAGCUGUCCCCAAGGCUGGCGCUGGGGAUGGGUCACAUCCCCAGAGCCCAGCAGCCCCUCCGGACCCUGCCAAGAGAGAACUCCUGGAAUCCAGCUCCUCUGGAGAGGCAGAGGCUGAGCUCAGCCCACAUUGCUGGGAACAGCAGCCGGCCGGAGCUGGGGAAGCCGAGGCAGCAGCUGCCCAGGGUGGGCCUCUGCAGAGCCUUCAGCCACCUGAAAACCCUCAGGUCCCUCCAGGAGCUGCAGCAGAACCCGAGGCACAGCCCAGCCGGGCUUCUCCUGCUGCCUGCACCACACCAGAGACCUCCCCAGGGCCCCAGGACCCGCCUGGGUGCGGCGAGGCAAAGCCGAGCCCGUGUCGGCCCCGCUGCCGGCUGAGCCGGAGAUGCCGAUAAACGGGAGACGGCUGGGAAAGAAGCCAGGGAAGUAACCAGA